UGGGGGAUAUUGCACAAUGGAGGAAACUCUGAUGCAGCAACGCCGCGUGAAGGAUGAAGGUCUUCGGAUUGUAAACUUUUGUACUUGGGGACGAUAAUGACGGUACCCAAGCAGCAAGCUCCGGCUAACUACGUGCCAGCAGCCGCGGUAAUACGUAGGGAGCAAGCGUUGUCCGGAUUUACUGGGUGUAAAGGGUGCGUAGGCGGCUAUGCAAGUCAGUUGUGAAAACUAUGGGCUCAACCCAUAGCCUGCAAUUGAAACUGCGUGGCUUGAGUGAAGUAGAGGUAGGUGGAAUUCCCGGUGUAGCGGUGA
rnacentral:rRNA from 1 species